rnacentral:rRNA from 1 species
UACGGAGGGUGCAAGCGUUAAUCGGAAUUACUGGGCGUAAAGCGCACGUAGGCGGAUUGGUCAGUUAGAGGUGAAAUCCCAGAGCUCAACUCUGGAACUGCCUUUAAUACUGCCAGUCUCGAGUCCGGAAGAGGUGAGUGGAACUCCUAGUGUAGAGGUGGAAUUCGUAGAUAUUAGGAAGAACACCAGUGGCGAAGGCGGCUCACUGGUCCGGUACUGACGCUGAGGUGCGAAAGCGUGGGGAGCAAACAGG